CCUACGGGAGGCAGCAGUAGGGAAUCUUCCGCAAUGGACGAAAGUCUGACGGAGCAACGCCGCGUGAGUGAUGAAGGUUUUCGGAUCGUAAAGCUCUGUUGUUAGGGAAGAACAAGUGCAAGAGUAACUGCUUGCACCUUGACGGUACCUAACCAGAAAGCCACGGCUAACUACGUGCCNGCAGCCGCGGUAAUACGUANGUGGCAAGCGUUGUCCGGAAUUAUUGGGCGUAAAGGGCUCGCANGCGGUUUCUUAAGUCUGAUGUGAAAGCCCCCGGCUCNACCGGGGAGGGUCNUUGGAAACUGGGAAACUUGAGUGCAGAAGAGGAGAGUGGAAUUCCACGUGUAGCGGUGAAAUGCGUAGAGAUGUGGAGGAACACCAGUGGCGAAGGCGACUCUCUGGUCUGUAACUGACGCUGAGGAGCGAAAGCGUGGGGAGCGAACAGGAUUAGAUACCCUGGUAGUCCACNCCGUAAACGAUGAGUGCUAAGUGUUAGGGGGUUUCCGCCCNUUAGUGCUGCAGCUAACGCAUUAAGCACUCCGCCUGGGGAGUACGGUCGCAAGACUGAAACUCAAAGGAAUUGACGGGGGCCCGCACAAGCGGUGGAGCAUGUGGUUUAAUUCGAAGCAACGCGAAGAACCUUAC
rnacentral:rRNA from 1 species